GUGCCAGCAGUCGCGGUAAUACGAAGGGUGCAAGCGUUACUCGGAAUUACUGGGCGUAAAGCGUGCGUAGGCGGUUUGUUAAGUCAGAUGUGAAAGCCCCGGGCUCAACCUGGGAAUGGCAUUUGAUACUGGCGAGCUAGAGUACGGUAGAGGGUGGUGGAAUUCCCGGUGUAGCGGUGAAAUGCGUAGAGAUCGGGAGGAACAUCUGUGGCGAAGGCGGCCACCUGGACCAGUACUGACGCUGAGGCACGAAAGCUAGGGGAGCGAAAGGGAUUAGAUACCCCUGUAGUCCUAGCCGUAAACGAUGGACACUAGGUGUAGGCAGUAUCGACCCUGUCUGUGCUGUAGCCAACGCGUUAAGUGUUUCGCCUGGGGAGUACGGUCGCAAGAUUGAAACUCAAAUGAAUUGACGG
rnacentral:rRNA from 1 species